rnacentral:misc_RNA from 1 species
CCAAACUUGGUCAUUUAGAGGAAGUAAAAGUCGUAACAAGGUCUCCGUUGGUGAACCAGCGGAGGGAUCAUUACCGAGUUUCUACUCGAAAACCCAUUGUGAACUUUACCAUUGUUGCUUCGGCGAGAGGCUUCAAACCCCUCUUGCCGAAGGUAUAAACUCUUUACGUAUGUGUUGUGGCAUAUCUGAGUACAAGAAUUUAAAUAUUCAAAACUUUCAGCAACGGAUCUCUUGGUUCUGGCAUCGAUGAAGAACGCAGC